CGAGACUAUUCGGCAUGGUGCCUCGGCUGCUGGUCACGUCCGCUCGGGCGAUCAUGGUGGCAGCGGCUCCUCCGUCGAUUUGUCCGAAGGAGAGCGCUGAGACGCAUCACCGCACUUUCGCCACCCGCCACGCGGCAGCGCCUCAAACCNCGGCUCAAAGCCGAUCACUUGAUCUCAGGGGCAAUCAUCAAUGAUCAAACGACCAUUAGUU
rnacentral:misc_RNA from 1 species